rnacentral:siRNA from 1 species
AGGUAAUAUGAUGCGGUUCGGUAC